CCUACGGGAGGCAGCAGUGGGGAAUCUUGCGCAAUGGGCGAAAGUCUGACGCAGCCAUGCCGCGUGAAUGAUGAAGGUCUUAGGAUUGUAAAAUUCUUUCACCGGGGACGAUAAUGACGGUACCCGGAGAAGAAGCCCCGGCUAACUUCGUGCCAGCAGCCGCGGUAAUACGAAGGGGGCUAGCGUUGCUCGGAAUUACUGGGCGUAAAGGGAGCGUAGGCGGAUAGUUUAGUCAGAGGUGAAAGCCCAGGGCUCAACCUUGGAAUUGCCUUUGAUACUGGCUAUCUUGAGUAUGGGAGAGGUUAGCGGAACUCCGAGUGUAGAGGUGAAAUUCGUAGAUAUUCGGAAGAACACCAGUGGCGAAGGCGGCUAAAAACUGGCCCAUUACUGACGCUGAGGCUCGAAAGCGUGGGGAGGCAAACAGGAUUAGAUACCCUGGUAGUCCACGCCGUAAACGAUGAGUGCUAGUUGUCGGCAUGCAUGCAUGUCGGUGACGCAGCUAACGCAUUAAGCACUCCGCCUGGGGGAGGUACGGUCGCGAAGAAUUAAACUACAAUAGAAGUUAGACGGCGUGAGACGUGCCGAACGGACGACCGACGAGGGAGGUAGG
rnacentral:rRNA from 1 species